GUUCCCGGGCCUUGUACACACCGCCCGUCAAGUCAUGAAAGUGGGCAGCACCCGAAGCCGGUGGCCUAACCCUUGUGGGGGGGAGCCGUCUAAGGUGAGGCUCGUGAUUGGGACUAAGUCGUAACAAGGUAGCCGUACCGGAAGGUGCGGCUGGAUCACCUCCUUUCUACGGAG
rnacentral:rRNA from 1 species